UGAUUUGCUUUUAUUAUACAAAAAUAUCUUAAAUCCACACCAGCAUAAAAAGACAAUAAAAUGCACCACAUUACAUGCAGGCGCAACUGAUUGUUGAGCUUUGGUCUUCAUUACUACAAUGAAACAGCAUCUAAAUAUUAGUACAGAAAAAUCUCAAAUCGAUGGGUAAUUGUGUGUGAACACUUGACUUGAAACAAAAAGUGCUCGGAGUGGACAUUUCAUAGGCAGCAUGUGUGUCAAACAUGUCCAAGACAGUCUUAGCCUGUGGACUUUCCAUACUACUAAAUACUGC